rnacentral:rRNA from 1 species
GCUUGCUGCUUCGCUGACGAGCGGCGGACGGGUGAGUAAUGUCUGGGAAACUGCCUGAUGGAGGGGGAUAACUACUGGAAACGGUAGCUAAUACCGCAUAACGUCGCAAGACCAAAGAGGGGGACCUUCGGGCCUCUUGCCAUCGGAUGUGCCCAGAUGGGAUUAGCUAGUAGGUGGGGUAACGGCUCACCUAGGCGACGAUCCCUAGCUGGUCUGAGAGGAUGACCAGCCACACUGGAACUGAGACACGGUCCAGACUCCUACGGGAGGCAGCAGUGGGGAAUAUUGCACAAUGGGCGCAAGCCUGAUGCAGCCAUGCCGCGUGUAUGAAGAAGGCCUUCGGGUUGUAAAGUACUUUCAGCGGGGAGGAAGGUGUUGAGGUUAAUAACCUCAGCAAUUGACGUUACCCGCAGAAGAAGCACCGGCUAACUCCGUGCCAGCAGCCGCGGUAAUACGGAGGGUGCAAGCGUUAAUCGGAAUUACUGGGCGUAAAGCGCACG